CCAGGCCACUCUGGAAAGCAGGCGCGUCCGCGCCUCACCCACGGUGCAAGCCGCCCCCGGGCGGUGAAGCUCUCAGGUCACAUGACAGAGGGGGAGUU
rnacentral:ncRNA from 2 species